ACAACAGCAAUGAAGAGAAGAGUAAUUGGAACCUAUUGUUCACAGAGAGCUCCAGCCUGGUGAAAUGGAGCAGCGAUGAUUCCAACGAAUAAAGUCUCCGAGCUUCAUACGGAAUUGAGCCGAUUGCUCAAGGAUGGUAUGACGGGAUCUCCCGUUACAGAGAUAGGGUAUAAGCGUAAUGGCCGUACCCGAAGAGGUGAGCAGGGUAACCUGUUCGCAAACAGAGGUGGUACCACGACGCUAAUUAUAGCUCUCGUCCUCAAG
rnacentral:ncRNA from 1 species